rnacentral:lncRNA from 13 species
UAAUAUAAAAGUGUGUAUCGAAACAACAUGUACAAAAUAUUGCGAUGUAAAAGGGAAACAGAUCUCUUCUCUACGCGCCAGCACAUAUACGGAGCUUUCUACAAUUUUCCCAACAUGCAUGCAAGAAUUCGGCUCCGAGUGAAAGAAUCGGAAAAUUAAAGAAACCUAUUCUAUAACUGCAAAAUAUAAAGUAGGAAGCAAGAGAGGUGAAGGGAUAUACAUGGAUUCCUCUUUGGAAAGAACUGACUUACUGCGACGGUGGAGCCAUUUUUUCCGACACCACCGGCGAGAAUGACGGAUAUGCUGCUCUGUGCAAGUAAAAUAGCGAUGCCCACAGCAGCCCAUAAUGGAAACACCUUCACCUCUGUGCCAGUGUAUGGCAACUAUAUAAGAGCGACACGAAAGAUCUUUUGAUUAGUCAUCAGAGAGGCUACCCUCGUGUCAAGGACUCUUUAAAACUCCGUAUCCCUGACAUGUUAAUUACAUAAAAUAGCAAAGUCAAUCGGAAAUACAUCUGCUGUUUUCACUUUUGAAACAAUUUCGUAUUAACGCCAUAUUAAUUACAAUUCAUAAUGCUAAAACCAAUAGAACAGAUAUAUACAAUGUUACAAAUUGCGUAGUAAAAUACUCUUGAUAUUCAAAACAAAUUUUUUACUGCUUCUAUAAAUUCUAGCUGCUGUUUACAAUCGUAUUAUAUAAAUGUAAUGCAAAUUUGCAAGUUUUAAUUUAAAAAAUCUGUAUAGAAAUUUAUACAUAGAACUUACACUCCUUUCUUUUUGUUAUUUCGCAAAACGUAAUCUUUGCCAUUGAAAAUAAAACAAGUUUUUCGG